rnacentral:rRNA from 1 species
CUUUUAUUGUUAAAUAUGCUAGUCCUUUCAUGAUUAUGUGAUAGGUGGUGCAUGGCCGUUCUUAGUUCGUGGAGUGAUCUGUCUGCUUAAUUGCGUUUCACUAUAAGGAUCUAUAUUCUUUACAGUGUGCAGUGCAUUGACCCCUUCUUCGGAAGCGUGUGUCUUUACGCUCACACUUCAUUAGGUCCUGAAAGCAACGAACGUGACCGCAACCUCUUGUUGCCUCUGUGCUCCUACACGCUCAAUGCGCUAAACACUGGUUUUCUAGCUUAGUGCGUUGGUUGAGGCUUUCUUAAACUAGAGGGACCGCUGUCAACUUCUUAAACCAGAGGAAGGUUGCGGCAAUAACAGGUCUGUGAUGCCCUUAGAUGUUCCGGGCUGCACACGUGCUACAAUGAUUGUUGCAGUGAGCAUCUCAAUUCUUUACCACACCGCACACGUGAGUCUUUAACGUUUUGUUGAAUGCACUUUACGCAGCGGUAACGCCUGCUUCGAGAGCAAGUGGGUAAUCAAUUAGAAGUAACGAUUUCCCAAGUUAGCACACUUAUAUACGGCGUUUAUGCCCGGGUUUCACUCCUUGAUUCCUUUGUGCGCGUAGAUGGAUUCCUCCGUAUGUGCAAUUGUCAAUUCAUGGUGGGGACAGACCAUUGUUAAUUGUUGGUCUCGGUCUUAACUAGGAAUGCCUUGUACGGGUCUUUGGUUCAACAAA